rnacentral:rRNA from 1 species
CGGCAACAGCUCAAAUUUGAAAUCUGGCCCUCGGGUCCGAGUUGUAAUUUGUAGAGGAUGCUUUUGGUGCGGUGCCUUCCGAGUUCCCUGGAACGGGACGCCAUAGAGGGUGAGAGCCCCGUCUGGUUGGACACCAAGCCUCUGUAAAGCUCCUUCGACGAGUCGAGUAGUUUGGGAAUGCUGCUCUAAAUGGGAGGUAUAUGUCUUCUAAAGCUAAAUACCGGCCAGAGACCGAUAGCGCACAAGUAGAGUGAUCGAAAGAUGAAAAGCACUUUGAAAAGAGAGUUAAAUAGUACGUGAAAUUGUUGAAAGGGAAGCGCUUGUGACCAGACUUGGGCUUGGUUAAUCAUCCAGGGUUCUCCCUGGUGCACUUGGCCGGCCCAGGCCAGCAUCAGUUUGCCGCGGGGGAUAAAGGCGUCGGGAAUGUGGCUCCCUCGGGAGUGUUAUAGCCCGGCGUGUAAUACCCUGCGGCGGACUGAGGUUCGCGCAUCUGCAAGGAUGCUGGCGUAAUGGUCAUCAGCGACCCGUCUUGAAACACGGACCAAGGAGUCGUCUUCGUAUGCGAGUGUUCGGGUGUCAAACCCCUACGCGUAAUGAAAGUGAACGCAGGUGAGAGCUUCGGCGCAUCAUCGACCGAUCCUGAUGUUCUCGGAUGGAUUUGAGUAAGAGCAUACGGGGCCGGACCCGAAAGAAGGUGAACUAUGCCUGUAUAGGGUGAAGCCAGAGGAAACUCUGGUGGAGGCUCGCAGCGGUUCUGACGUGCAAAUCGAUCGUCAAAUAUGGGCAUGGGGGCGAA